GAGCAGUGAGACCCAUUAGAAGAUGGUCAAUGUACUUUCAGGGAGCAGUGAGACAUUUGAAGGUACAGUUUAUGAAUGAUGAGUUUUAUGACAGUGACACCCAUUUGUCACAAACUGAUCAGAAAGCUCGAGCAAUUUGCAGGCUCUUUACCAUAUUUUUAAUUUGUUACACAGUUUUUUGGCACACAUGAAAGCUGGGUAGAUGUCGCGGUUGGGGUGUUCUCUUCUCCAUGCGGUGUUAGGCUCUGUUACGGAUGAGUCGAGAACGGCCCACCAGCCUGCACUGCACCUCAAUUGGAGCUGUCGAGAGCAUCUCAGGUACACUCUAUGCAGUUGUGUGUACAUCUUGUAGUGCUCUUCUAUUUGGAAUGGAUACUUCUCUCAUCCUGUUAUUCAUACCUAUGCAUAUAUGCUAGAUCAGAUGUAUUUUGGGGGGUGCUAAAUCAUGGUGAUUACUGAAUGGUUCCAGUUUGAUGAAUGAAAGCAUUGUAAUGUUAAAAGGAACUGGAUUGCUUUUUUUGACUUGAGUUCCCAUGCAAAGUCUAAAUACUUGAUUAUCCAAGUAAAACUCUUAUGUUGUCUAGAUACUGAAGAAAUAAAUCAAUGCCAUGCAGAUCAUGCAUCCCGUCUGGGUGUCCAGGAGCGAAAGUCGGAUGUCAAUGCAUUCGAUGUAUUUGAAACAAUGUGUAAGACAAUAAGUUUUGGGGAACCAGCACAACCCUCUAGGGGUGGCUUAUCUCAUUAUAUAUAAUGGUUGUGUUACAAUAUGUACAAUAUACGUACAUAGGUACAGAAGCUAUACAUAGUCUAACACCCUUCCUCAAUCUUAGCCACUUUCUAAAGAACUGAGAAGGGUAAGAUUGCGCCUACAAGCCUCAAAUUGUGGCAGCGGUAAAGGCUUAGUGAAGAUGUCUGC
rnacentral:lncRNA from 1 species